AGUUCGAUUAUGGCCUAGAUUGAACGCUGGCGGAUGUUUUUACACAUGCAAGUCGUGAACGUUGGCAGCACGGACUUCGUUCAAAAGGAGCAAGAACGGGUAUGGGCCGUAUCGGAACGUGCCUAGUAGCGGGGGAUAACUACGCGAAAGCGUAGCUAAUACCGCAUACGGCCCUUCGGGGGAAAGCGGGGGACCUUCGGGCCUCGCAAUUCUGCAGCCAGAAGUGCCGAUAUCGAGAUUAGUUAGCUAUGGGGGUAACGGCUCACCAAGGCGACGAUCCGCUGGUUUGAGAGGACGACCAGCCACACUGGGACUGAGACACGGCCCAGACUCCUACGGGUGUAGCGGCAGCAGGGAAUUUUGGACAAUGGGGGAAACCCUGAUCCAGCCAUCCCGCGUGUGCGAUGAAGUGCCUCGUUGUAAAAGCACUUUGGCAGAGAAGAAACGCAGGAUAAUACCCCGCACCGACGGUACCUGUGGUGAAUAAGCAAUCGGCUAACUACGUGCCAGCAGCCGCGGUACACGUAGGUGUGCCAAAUCGGAAUUACUGGGCGUAAAGCGUGCGCAGGCGGUUCGGAAAGAAAGAUGUGAAAUCCCAGAGCUUAACUUUGGAACUGCAUUUUUAAUGUCGAGCUGGGAGGUCAGAGGGAGGUGGAACGCGUACAGUGAAUGCGCAGAGAUACGUGGAGUGUUCGCAUCUGGCGGCGAAGGCGGCCUGGAUAACACUGACGCUCAUGCACGAAAGCGUGGGAGCAAACAGGAUUAGAUACCCUGGUAGUCCACGCCCUAAACGAUGUCAACUAGCUGUUGGGGCCUUCGGGCCUUGGUAGCGCAGCUAACGCGUGAAGUUGACCGCCUGGGGAGCACGGUCGCAAGAUUAAAACCUGUCCUCAAAGGAAUUUGACGUAUCCGUACAAGCGGUGGAUGAUGUGGAUUAAUUGAUGCAAUGCUGCGCCCCAUCACCCCUAGACAUAUGUCUGGAAUCCCGAAGAGAUUUGGAGUGCUCGCAAGAGAACCGGAACACAGGUGCUGCAUGGCUGUCGUCAGCUCGUGUCGUGAGAUGUUGGGUUAAGUCCCGCAACGAGCGCAACCCUCCUUGUCAUUAGUUGCUGCUACGAAAGGGCACCGAAUACAGAUCGCUGGUGACAAACCGGAGAAGGUGGGGAUGACGUCAAGUCCUCAUGGCCUCGCGGUAGGUCACCGUCAGUACAAUAGCCGGGACAGAGGGUCGCCAACCGCGAGGGGGAGCCAAUCCAGAAACCCGAUCGUAGUCCGCUGAUUCGCAGUCUGCAACUCGACUGCGUGAAGUCGGAAUCGCUGGGGCAAUCGCGGAUCAGCAUGUCGCGGUGAAUACGUUCCCGGGUCUUGUACACACCGCCCGUCACACCAUGGGAGUGGGUUUUACCAGCGAAGGCUGGUCAACUGCAAGGAGGGCGAUUACCACGGUAGGAUUCAUGAUCGGGGUGAAGUCGCAAUAAGGUAACUCUGUUAUCGAUG
rnacentral:rRNA from 1 species